rnacentral:rRNA from 1 species
CCUACGGGUGGCAGCAGUAGGGAAUCUUCCACAAUGGGCGAAAGCCUGAUGGAGCAACGCCGCGUGGGUGAAGAAGGUCUUCGGAUCGUAAAACCCUGUUGUUAGAGAAGAAAGUUCGUGCGAGUAACUGUUCACGUUUCGACGUUAUCUAUCCAGAAAGCCUCGGCUAACUACGUGCCAGCAGCCGCGGGAAUACGUAGGUGGCAAGCGUUAUCCGGAUUUAUUGGGCGUAAAGGGAACGCAGUCGGUCUGUUAAGUCUGAUGUGAAAGCCUUCGGCUUAACCGGAGUAGUGCAUUGGAUACUGGGAGACUGGAGUGCAGAAGAGGAGGGUGGAACUCCAUGUGUAGCGGUGAAAUGCGUAGAUAUAUGGAAGAACACCGGUGGCGAAAGCAGCUCUCUGGACUGUAACUGACGCUGAGGUUCGAAAGCGUGGGUAGCAAACAGGAUUAGAUACCCGGGUAGUC